GUGGGGAAUAUUGGACAAUGGGGGGAACCCUGAUCCAGCCAUGCCGCGUGUGUGAAGAAGGCCUUUUGGUUGUAAAGCACUUUAAGCGAGGAGGAGGCUACCGAGAUUAAUACUCUUGGAUAGUGGACGUUACUCGCAGAAUAAGCACCGGCUAACUCUGUGCCAGCAGCCGCGGUAAUACAGAGGGUGCAAGCAUUAAUCGGAUUUACUGGGCGUAAAGCGCGCGUAGGUGGCCAAUUAAGUCAAAUGUGAAAUCCCCGAGCUUAACUUGGGAAUUGCAUUCGAUACUGGUUGGCUAGAGUAUGGGAGAGGAUGGUAGAAUUCCAGGUGUAGCGGUGAAAUGCGUAGAGAUCUGGAGGAAUACCGAUGGCGAAGGCAGCCAUCUGGCCUAAUACUGACACUGAGGUGCGAAAGCAUGGGGAGCAAACAGGAUUAGAUACCCUAGUAGUCC
rnacentral:rRNA from 1 species